AACUAACGCUGGCGGCGCGUCUUAAACAUGCAAGUGGAACGGUAAGGCUCGAGCUUGCUCGAGUACACGAGUCGCAAACGGGUGAGUAACACGUGGGUAAUUUGCCUUAGAGUGGGGGAUAGCCCCGGGAAACCGGGAUUAAUACCGCAUACGCCCUACGGGGUAAAGGUGGGGAUCUUCGGACCUGCCGCUUUAAGAUAAGCCCGCGCACCAUUAGUUUGUUGGUGGGGUAAAGGCCUACCAAGACUACGAUGGUUAGCCGGCCUGAGAGGGUGAUCGGCCACAUUGGGACUGAGACACGGCCCAAACUCCUACGGGAGGCAGCAGUUAAGAAUCUUGGACAAUGGGAGAAAUCCUGAUCCAGCGACGCCGCGUGAGCGAUGAAGGCCUUAGGGUUGUAAAGCUCAAUAAGUAGGGAAGAAUAAGUUAGUGCUAAUACCACUGACGAUGACGGUACCUACCUAAAGCACCGGCUAAAUACGUGCCAGCCGCCGCCGUAACAC
rnacentral:rRNA from 1 species